rnacentral:lncRNA from 1 species
UUUUUUUUGUGCUAUUUCAUCAUAGGCUGUCGGAACUUGCUUCUUAGCGCUACGUGGGAAGAGAAUUUAUCUAUUCAGCCCCCCCGACUUCAAUUACAAACUCUUACUUCUCGGUCUAACUUGGACUAAUCCCUUAGCAGGCAAGAAAUUCCUACUAACCAGACAGAAAGUAAGUUUCCACUCACUACCAAAGCGCUGUCGCACCUCUACUAUUUUCGGCGUAACGAGG